GACGAACCGUGCGAACGUUAUUCGGAAUCACUGGGCUUAAAGCGCGUGUAGGCGGGAAGGCCCGUCGGUCGCUGAAAUCCCCCGGCUCAACCGGGGAAGUGGCGCCGAUACGACCUUCCUGGAGGGACGUAGGGGGACCUGGAACUUCCGGUGGAGCGGUGAAAUGCGUUGAGAUCGGAAGGAACGCCCGUGGCGAAAGCGAGGUCCUGGACGUUUUCUGACGCUGAGACGCGAAAGCCAGGGGAGCAAACGGG
rnacentral:rRNA from 1 species